UAAAGCUGAUCUGCCCUGGGUAAGUCGGGACCUAACGCGAGGCCGAAAGGCGUAGUGGAUGGAAAGCAGGCGAAAGAUUCCUGCACCCGUAUAUGGAGCGAAGGAGUGACGGAGACGGAUAGUGUGACCCUCUUAAUGGAUUGAGGGCGAAGCGAAGCGGCUGGUUACCAGGCAAAUCCGGUAACCAUAAGGCUAGAGCGUGACAGGUAAGCGAAAUCUUAGGAAAGUAGCGAAGCACAUGAUGACGGCUUCCAGGAAAAGCUUCUGGCAAUGCAUAUGCGGCCCGUACCAAAACCGACACAGGUGGGCAGGGAGAGAAUCCCGAGGUGAGCGAGAGAACUGUUGCCAAGGAACUCGGCAAAAUGACUCCGUAAGUUAGCGAGAAGGAGUGCUUAAGCAAUUAAGCCGCAGUGAAGAGGCCCAAGCGACUGUUUAACUAAAACACAGCUCUCUGCGAAGUCGCAAGACGAAGUAUAGGGGGUGACACCUGCCCGGUGCUGGAAGGUUAAGAGGAUCUGUUAAGAGCGAUCUGAAGCAGUGAUCCGAAGCCCCAGUGAACGGCGGCCGUAACUAUAACGGUCCUAAGGUAGCGAAAUUCCUUGUCAGGUAAGUUCUGACCCGCAUGAAAGGCGUAAUGAUUUGGGCACUGUCUCAACAGCCCGCCCGGCGAAAUUGUAGUACCGGUGAAGAUGCCGGUUACCCGCGACAAGACGGAAAGACCCCAUGGAGCUUUACUGUAGCCUAAUAUUGGGUUUCGAUGUUGCAUGCACAGGAUAGAUGGGACACUGGGAAGUGAUCGCUUUGGCGGUCAUGGAGUGGCCGUUGGGAUACCAUCCUUGCGAUAUUGGAAUUCUAACCUGCGGCUCUGAAUCGAGUCGGGGGACAUUGUUAGGUGGGCAGUUUGACUGGGGCGGUCGCCUCCUAAAGAGUAACGGAGGCGUUCAAAGGUUCGCUCAGCUUGAACGGAAAUCAAGCAAAAGAGUGCAAACGCAGAAGCGAGCCUAACUGCGAGACUGACGGGUCGAGCAGUAACGAAAGUUGGAGUUAGUGAUCCGGUGGUAUGUGAGUGGAAAUGCCAUCGCUCAACGGAUAAAAGUUACCCUGGGGAUAACAGGCUGAUCUCCCCCAAGAGUCCACAUCGACGGGGAGGUUUGGCACCUCGAUGUCGGCUCAUCGCAUCCUGGGGCUGAAUUCGGUCCCAAGGGUUUG
rnacentral:rRNA from 1 species